AGAAGCCCGAAGCUACAGUUUUUUUCCCUUCACCUGACAGGUCUGUUUUUUAAUCCAAAGGAUUUGUCCAAGUGACGCCUGCGCCCAGCAAAAACUCGGAAAAAUACAAAGAAUGUAAUAAUAAUGGUUCUAGUAAUAAUUUAACCAGCGCCUAUUUGCCAGGCCUCUUUUUUGUUUUUAAUGUUUAUUUAUUUUUGAGAGACAGAGAGACAGAGAAUCCAAAAUAGGCUCCACACAGUCAGCACAGAUGCCAGGCUUCUUCUUUAAUCCUUCCAACCACACUGGAGGAAAAGAGGACCGAGGCGCCCAGUGUCCACGGUAACCCCUAGGGGGCGCGCGUGGUCCAGAUCGGAGACGCCAGAACAAUCCUGGACCGCGCCGCUGCGAGCGCACUUCAUUCUAGGGCAAAAGCCCCAGCGCAGGUGCAAAUACUGGCUGUUAGAAGACCCGGUGCUAACUUUGGGGGAACCCCCCCCCCCCCCACUCCCUGUGGUUUUGGGGCUCACCAGUCAAGGUGGCCCCAUCUCUCUCACCCCACGAGCUGGACCAAUCACAGUCCUUCCUGGAUCUUCUUGACAGAAUCUAGGAGGCAGGCUUUCUUUCUGCUGGGCUUGCUAAACUGGCCAGAGAUGACCCUUGUGCUGUCCAGUUCCAUCACACCCACCCAGCAGAGAAAGCCCGAGUGACAAAGAGAGAGAGCCGCAAUGAUAUCAUUCAAGCCCCUAGAUCCAGACGGACCUGAAGCUAGACCCACUCCUAAUCUUUCCACGGUAGGUACUAAUAACCCCCCUUAGUGCUUCGAUUAGUUCGAGCUCAGUUUCUUCUCUUG
rnacentral:lncRNA from 1 species